rnacentral:rRNA from 1 species
UACGAAGGGGGCUAGCGUUGCUCGGAAUUACUGGGCGUAAAGCGCACGUAGGCGGUCUUUUAAGUCGGGGGUGAAAUCCUGGAGCUCAACUCCAGAACUGCCUUCGAUACUGGAAGACUCGAGUCCGGGAGAGGUGAGUGGAACUGCGAGUGUAGAGGUGAAAUUCGUAGAUAUUCGCAAGAACACCAGUGGCGAAGGCGGCUCACUGGCCCGGUACUGACGCUGAGGAGCGAAAGCGUGGGGAGCGAACAGG